rnacentral:rRNA from 1 species
GAUGAACGCUGGCGGCGUGCCUAAUACAUGCAAGUCGAGCGAACAGACGAGGAGCUUGCUCCUCUGACGUUAGCGGCGGACGGGUGAGUAACACGUGGAUAACCUACCUAUAAGACUGGGAUAACUUCGGGAAACCGGAGCUAAUACCGGAUAAUAUAUUGAACCGCAUGGUUCAAUAGUGAAAGACGGUUUUGCUGUCACUUAUAGAUGGAUCCGCGCCGCAUUAGCUAGUUGGUAAGGUAACGGCUUACCAAGGCAACGAUGCGUAGCCGACCUGAGAGGGUGAUCGGCCACACUGGAACUGAGACACGGUCCAGACUCCUACGGGAGGCAGCAGUAGGGAAUCUUCCGCAAUGGGCGAAAGCCUGACGGAGCACCGCCGCGUGAGUGAUGAAGGUCUUCGGAUCGUAAAACUCUGUUAUUAGGGGAGAACAAAUGUGUAAGUAACUAUGCACGUCUUGACGGUACCUAAUCAGAAAGCCACGGCUAACUACGUG